GAUGAAGAACGUAGCGAAAUGCGAUAAGUAAUGUGAAUUGCAGAAUUCAGUGAAUCAUCGAAUCUUUGAACGCACAUUGCGCCCGUUAGCAUUCUAGCGGGCAUGCCUGUCCGAGCGUCAUUUCAACCCUCAGGGUCCCCGUUCCGGCGGGGAACCUGGUGUUGGGGAUCGGCCCGCCCCGUGCGGCGCCGUCCCCCAAACUCAGUGGCGGUCUCGCUGCAGCCUCCCCUGCGUAGUAGUUACAACCUCGCAUCGGAGCUCAGCGCGGCCACGCCGUAAAACCCCCGACUUUCUGAACGUUGACCUCGGAUCAGGUAGGAAUACCCGCUGAACUUAAGCAUAUCAAAAGCGGAGGA
rnacentral:misc_RNA from 1 species